rnacentral:rRNA from 1 species
UGAGGAAUAUUGGUCAAUGGACGGAAGUCUGAACCAGCCAAGUAGCGUGCAGGAUGACGGCCCUAUGGGUUGUAAACUGCUUUUGUAUGGGGAUAAAGUUAGGGACGUGUCCCUAUUUGCAGGUACCAUAUGAAUAAGGACCGGCUAAUUCCGUGCCAGCAGCCGCGGUAAUACGGAAGGUUCAGGCGUUAUCCGGAUUUAUUGGGUUUAAAGGGAGCGUAGGCCGGAGAUUAAGUGUGUUGUGAAAUGUAGACGCUCAACGUCUGACUUGCAGCGCAUACUGGUUUCCUUGAGUACGCACAACGUUGGCGGAAUUCGUCGUGUAGCGGUGAAAUGCUUAGAUAUGACGAAGAACUCCGAUUGCGAAGGCAGCUGACGGGAGCGCAACUGACGCUUAAGCUCGAAGGUGCGGGUAUCGAACAGGAUUAGAUACCCUGGUAGUCCGCACAGUAAACGAUGGAUGCCCGCUGUUGGUACCUGGUAUCAGCGGCUAAGCGAAAGCAUUAAGCAUCCCACCUGGGGAGUACGCCGGCAACGGUG